rnacentral:lncRNA from 1 species
AGAUGGUCUAAAGACCUGGGGACACGGUGGAAAAUUCACUAUCAUCACUUCUUUCCAGAAGGAGUGAUUUGUACCUCUCUUCCUAAGUUCCCAAUUUGGUUUCCCAUUCUAGCUCAUGCAGGCUUUUAUUCAUACCUAAUUCUUGACUCAACUCCCUGGGCUCAACCAAUUGGCCUAACAUAUAUUGGGCAGUUGCAUUACCUGUCUCCCUCCUUAUUACUGCAGUAAUCAGCUAUGCACACUUAUUUGAAAUUAGCAUGAUUAAUAGCCCUCCACUUGACUCCAUUCAUACAAUCACAGAUAGCUGUGGUAAAAAUCAGCAGCAGAAAAAUACCAAGGAGAGGCUCUCUCAACAUUAAGAGAUAUUCCUAUUAGUGAAGUAAACUAAAUAUAUU